rnacentral:rRNA from 1 species
AUGCUCCGGCUCCGAAGCUGCACCCUCACCCAGCUCCUCUCUUCUCCCUACACCUCCCAUCUCUCUCCUCUCCACCGUCUCCUCUCCGCCGCAGCCGCCUCCGCCGUUUCCCCGGCCGCCACCCCUGGCUUUGGCGCCGAGGAGUACCUCGUCUCCGCCUGCGGCUUGACCCGAGCCCAGGCCAUCAAGGCCUCCACCAAGCUCUCCCACCUCAAGUCCCCCGCCAAGACCGACGCCGUCCUCGCCUUCCUCGCCGGCAUCGGCCUCUCCGCCGCCGACGUCGCCACCGCCAUCGCCAAGGACCCGCUGUUACUCUGCGCCGGCGUGGAGAGGACCCUGGCCCCCGUCUUCGAUGGGCUCACCGGCCUCGGCCUCUCGCGCUCUGAGGUCGCGCGCAUCGCCGUGUUCGUCCCCAGCAAAUUCCGCUGCAGAUCCAUCGUCUCCGCUCUACACUACUACCUGACCCUCUUCGGCUCCAUGGACCACUUGCUCCGGUUGCUCAAACGCGGCUUCUGGCUACAUGGUUCUGACCUCGAGAGGGUGGUCAAGCCCAACGUCGCGUUCCUGCGGGAGUGCGGGCUACAGGAUUGCGACAUUGCCAAGCUGUGCAUCCGUGUGCCAAGGAUCCUCAAAAUCAACCAGCAGCGCCUCCGGCGAUGGUGGCAUGUGCCAAAGCUCUCUGUGUGCCGCAUGGCUCUGGGAUGUUGGCAAAAGCGUUGCAUGCUGUCGCAUUCUAUGACGAGGAGAAGAUCGCCACCAAGGUGGAGCACCUGA